AAGCUCGUAGUUGAAUUUCGGGCUUGGCCAGGCGGUCCGUCUUUGGCGAGUACUGUUCUGUGUCGGGUCUUUCUUUCUGGUUAACCGGUGUGCUCUUUAUUGAGCGUGCCGUGGGAGCCAGGACCAUUACCUUGAAAAAAUUAGAGUGUUUAAAGCGGGCAUUUGCUUGAAUAGAUUAGCAUGGAAUAAUAAAAUAGGACGUUGGUUCUAUUUUGUUGGUCUAGGACCACCGUAAUGACUAAUAGGGAUAGUUGGGGGCAUUAGUAUUUAAUUGUCAGAGGUGAAAUUCUUGGAUUUAUUGAAGACUAACUAUUGCGAAAGCAUUUGCCAAGGAUGUUUUCAUUAAUCAAGAACGAAAGUUAGGGGAUCGAAGACGAUCAGAUACCGUCGUAGUCUUAACCAUAAACUAUGCCGACUAGGAAUCGGGCGUCGUUAUUUUCACGACUCGCCCGGCGCCUUAUGGGAAACCAAAGUUUUUGGGUUCCGGGGGGAGUAUGGUCGCAAGGCUGAAACUUAAAGGAAUUGACGGAAGGGCACCACCAGGGGUGGAGCCUGCGGCUUAAUUUGACUCAACACGGGGAAA
rnacentral:rRNA from 1 species